rnacentral:rRNA from 1 species
CAUGUCUAUAUGGUUGUUAUAUAAAGUCUAGCCUGCCCACUGAUUUAGUUUAAAGGGCCGCGGUAUAUUGACCGUGCGAAGGUAGCAUAAUCAUUAGUCUUUUAAUUGAAGGCUUGUAUGAAUGGUUGGACAAAAAGUAAGCUGUCUCAAUUAUAAUAAUUGAAUUUAACUUUUAAGUGAAAAGGCUUAAAUAAAUUAAGGGGACGAUAAGACCCUAUAAAGCUUGACAAUAAUUUAAUUAUACUAUCAAUUGUUAGUAUAACUUGGUUUUAAUUAAUAUUUGUUGCGUUGGGGCGACGAGAAUAUAAUAGGUAACUGUUCUUAAAUAUUUAAUAACAAAUAUAAUUGGAAAUUAGUAUGAUCCUUUAUUAGCGAUUAAAAGAUUAAGUUACUUUAGGGAUAACAGCGUAAUCUUCUUUGAGAGUCCCUAUCGACAAGAAGGUUUGCGACCUCGAUGUUGAAUUAAGGUAUCCUUAUGAUGCAG